rnacentral:rRNA from 1 species
UACAGAGGGGGCAAGCGUUGUUCGGAAUUACUGGGCGUAAAGGGCGCGUAGGCGGCCUUCUAAGUCGAACGUGAAAUCCCUGGGCUCAACCCAGGAACUGCGUCCGAUACUGGAAGGCUUGAAUCCGGGAGAGGGAUGCGGAAUUCCUGGUGUAGCGGUGAAAUGCGUAGAUAUCUGGAGGAAUACCGGUGGCGAAGGCGGCAUCCUGGACCGGCAUUGACGCUGAUGAGCGAAAGCUAGGGGAGCAAACGGG